GUAAUGUCUGGGAAACUGCCUGAUGGAGGGGGAUAACUACUGGAAACGGUGGCUAAUACCGCAUAACGUCGCAAGACCAAAGAGGGGGACCUUCGGGCCUCUUGCCAUCAGAUGUGCCCAGAUGGGAUUAGCUUGUUGGUGAGGUAACGGCUCACCAAGGCGACGAUCCCUAGCUGGUCUGAGAGGAUGACCAGCCACACUGGAACUGAGACACGGUCCAGACUCCUACGGGAGGCAGCAGUGGGGAAUAUUGCACAAUGGGCGCAAGCCUGAUGCAGCCAUGCCGCGUGUAUGAAGAAGGCCUUCGGGUUGUAAAGUACUUUCAGCGGGGAGGAAGGUGUUGUGGUUAAUAACCGCAGCAAUUGACGUUACCCGCAGAAGAAGCACCGGCUAACUCCGUGCCAGCAGCCGCGGUAAUACGGAGGGUGCAAGCGUUAAUCGGAAUUACUGGGCGUAAAGCGCACGCAGGCGGUCUGUCAAGUCGGAUGUGAAAUCCCCGGGCUCAACCUGGGAACUGCAUUCGAAACUGGCAGGCUUGAGUCUUGUAGAGGGGGGUAGAAUUCCAGGUGUAGCGGUGAAAUGCGUAGAGAUCUGGAGGAAUACCGGUGGCGAAGGCGGCCCCCUGGACAAAGACUGACGCUCAGGUGCGAAAGCGUGGGGAGCAAACAGG
rnacentral:rRNA from 1 species